rnacentral:misc_RNA from 1 species
UAGGUGACCUGCGGAAGGAUCAUUGUCGAAUCGUCCAACAGAACGACCCGCGAACCGUUGUAUUUAUUCUUUGCCCGAACGGGCCGCGAGCGUCCGUCCCUUCGCCGUCCGUGCGGCGGGGGAGCCGUGACGGUCCCGCGUUGCCCCGUCGGAACAUCCAUCCAAAACCCGGCGCGAUCGGCGUCAAGGAACACGAACGGAAAGAGCUCCGAGACCGCGGCGCCCCGCGUAAAGCGUUGCGCGCCUUCGGUUUUCGAGCGAUUCUUUAGUCAACGAACGACUCUCGGCAACGGAUAUCUCGGCUCUCGCAUCGAUGAAGAACGUAGCGAAAUGCGAUACUUGGUGUGAAUUGCAGAAUCCCGUGAACCAUCGAGUCUUUGAACGCAAGUUGCGCCCUAGGCCAUACGGUCGAGGGCACGUCUGCCUGGGCGUCACGCACUGCGUGCCUCUCCCCUCCGGCGCCCCGUCCCGGGCCUCUGGAGCGGGAGAGCGGAUAUUGGCCCCCCGCGUGCCCCCGGCAUGCGGUCGGCGUAAAAGCUNGGCCGUCGGCGGCGAAGCAUCMCGACAGUUGGUGGUUGACGAGUCCAUUCUCCGAAGCCGGAUGUCGUGACGGCGGCGUCGUCCUCGCGGCCCCGCGACCCCCCCGAAGGGCCGUCUCCGAGACGGCAUCCACACGGCGACCCCAG